rnacentral:rRNA from 1 species
CCUACGGGGGGCUGCAGUGGGGAAUAUUGCACAAUGGGGGAAACCCUGAUGCAGCAACGCCGCGUGAGCGAUGAAGGCCUUCGGGUCGUAAAGCUCUGUCCUAAGGGAAGAAUGAUGACGGUGCCUCAGGCGGAAACCCCGGCUCACUACGUGCCAGCAGCCGCGGUAAUAUGUAGGGGGCUAGAGUUAUCCGAGAAUACUGGGCGUAAAGGGGGUGGGGGCGGAGAGUAAAGUUCAAGGUGAAAGCCUACGGGUCAACCGUGGUAAGCCUUUGAAACUGUAGGACUUGAGUGCAGGAGAGGAAAGUGGAAUUCCUAGUGUAGCGGUGAAAUGCGUAGAUAUUAGGAGGAACACCAGUGGCGAAGGCGGCUUUCUGGACUGUAACUGACGCUGAGGCACGAAAGCGUGGGGAGCGAACAGGAUUAGAUACCCGUGUAGUC